AACGAACGCUGGCGGCAUGCCUAACACAUGCAAGUCGAACGAUGCCUUCGGGCAUAGUGGCGCACGGGUGCGUAACGCGUGGGAAUCUGCCCCUUGGUUCGGAAUAACAGUUAGAAAUGACUGCUAAUACCGGAUGAUGACGUAAGUCCAAAGAUUUAUCGCCAAGGGAUGAGCCCGCGUAGGAUUAGCUAGUUGGUGUGGUAAGAGCGCACCAAGGCGACGAUCCUUAGCUGGUCUGAGAGGAUGAUCAGCCACACUGGGACUGAGACACGGCCCAGACUCCUACGGGAGGCAGCAGUGGGGAAUAUUGGACAAUGGGCGAAAGCCUGAUCCAGCAAUGCCGCGUGAGUGAUGAAGGCCUUAGGGUUGUAAAGCUCUUUUACCCGGGAUGAUAAUGACAGUACCGGGAGAAUAAGCUCCGGCUAACUCCGUGCCAGCAGCCGCGGUAAUACGGAGGGAGCUAGCGUUGUUCGGAAUUACUGGGCGUAAAGCGCACGUAGGCGGCUUUGUAAGUUAGAGGUGAAAGCCUGGAGCUCAACUCCAGAAUUGCCUUUAAGACUGCAUCGCUCGAAUCCAGGAGAGGUGAGUGGAAUUCCGAGUGUAGAGGUGAAAUUCGUAGAUAUUCGGAAGAACACCAGUGGCGAAGGCGGCUCACUGGACUGGUAUUGACGCUGAGGUGCGAAAGCGUGGGGAGCAAACAGG
rnacentral:rRNA from 1 species